rnacentral:lncRNA from 1 species
CAAAAUGUGCCCUCAAUUACAAUCCCUGCAUCCAGGACUUUUUAACACAAAUGCCUCAACUUAGAAUCCUUGAAUCAAACUAUAAUCAAGCAAAACGUGUAACUUUGGAUCUCUGUAACAAGAUGGUUAUCAACACAUUGUAACAGAGAUAUCUAUCAUCUACAUUGCAAAAUUAUGAAAUCAAUUUGUAUCUACAACUGCUAUACGUUCAGUUGUUUACACAAUAUCAGAUCGAUAUAGCUAAUUUCAGGUGAACAAAAUGGCAUCAGAUCCUAAGGUGCAGGGUUUUAUAUCAGAUCAAUACAGGGAAACAGGAUUAUGGAGAUGGAAAUUGAAGCUUACUGACCCACAGUAGGCACCGGUGGACAAUGAUGGGGAGGCCACUGCAGUACGAGUAAACAAGUGCUCCUCCCGGCUGGUGCAGGGAUGUGGUACAGGAACUGUUGUAGCGCAGGGACGGAAGGGCGGCGAGGACGGCGACCACAGGAAGGACCGGCGAGGCAGCGGCUCUAGGAUCUGCACCAGGAGGAGAUGACUGCAGGAGGAGGUGCAGGAAAUCGGGACAGGGACUGCUGCGGCAGGAGGUGCAGGGACGGAAGGGCGGCGAGGAUGGCCGCCGCCGGAAGGGCCGGUGAGGCGGCGCCUGUAGGAUCCGUGCCGAAACCGUCCUUGCGGA